CUGCUGCCUCCCGUAGGAGUUUGGGCCGUGUCUCAGUCCCAAUGUGGCCGUUCACCCUCUCAGGCCGGCUACUGAUCGUUGCCUUGGUAGGCCAUUACCCCACCAACUAGCUAAUCAGACGCGGAACCAUCGUAUACCACCAGAGUUUUUCACACCGCUUCAUGCGAAGCUGUGCGCUUAUGCGGUAUUAGCACCUAUUUCUAAGUGUUAUCCCCCAGUAUACGGCAGGUUCUCCACGCGUUACUCACCCGUCCG
rnacentral:rRNA from 1 species